rnacentral:lncRNA from 1 species
CUUGGAGACCAGCUCAGACUUGGUUGAGUUCCUUCGUUUACUCAUACAAAAAAAUGGCAACAAAUUGGCUCCCUAUUCAAUGGCUGGAUAAUAAGCACCCAAAAAGCGUGUUCCUAAGUCACGGCGACAGUACCAUGUGAACGUAAAUGGAGACUUUGUAUAUGGAACUUCUUUUGUUGCCAUCUGUGUAAUGAGGGAGUCUUCUAGUUGACAGCUGAAGCCCCUUCUGGAUUUGAGUGUUUGGGGGAAUAAUGCCUCUGAGUGAAGAAGGAGAAAAACGUCCUGAUUGUUAGGUGGAUUUGAAGCUGUCCUUUGGACUGGAUUUAAAUGGCCCAACCAAGUUUGAUGUCAACUGUGAAAGUUCUACUGAAUGUUCCAGUCAUUCUUUACCACUGCAGUCUGAAAACUGGGAGUCUACUGGAGUCUUCUUGAAAUUAUUCUGCUGGAUGUGGCCGUCAGAGUGUUUUUCUGGAGCCCCGGCUGGAGGACAGUGGCUACCAGGAGCAUGUUUUUCUCAUGAUGGAGUUCGGCAUCUUCUAGGCUGGGUGGAAAAUACAUUUCUGCCAUGGAGGAGGUGGGAAGUAAAUAAUUACUGAACAAUAUUCUAAUGCCUGUUCCCGCUGAAAGAGAUGUUUUA